AACGCUAGCUACAGGCUUAACACAUGCAAGUCGAGGGGCAGCACAGUGUAGCAAUACAUGGGUGGCGACCGGCGCACGGGUGCGUAACGCGUAUCCAACCUUCCCGAUACUCAGGGAUAGCCUUCCGAAAGGGAGAUUAAUACCUGAUGGUGUUCAAAUUCCGCAUGUUAUUUGAACUAAAGAUUUAUCGGUAUCGGAUGGGGAUGCGUGACAUUAGAUAGUAGGCGGGGUAACGGCCCACCUAGUCUACGAUGUCUAGGGGUUCUGAGAGGAAGGUCCCCCACACUGGAACUGAGACACGGUCCAGACUCCUACGGGAGGCAGCAGUGAGGAAUAUUGGUCAAUGGUCGGAAGACUGAACCAGCCAAGUAGCGUGAAGGAUGAAGGUUCUAUGGAUUGUAAACUUCUUUUAUACGGGAAUAAAACCACCUACGUGUAGGUGCUUGUAUGUACCGUAUGAAUAAGCAUCGGCUAACUCCGUGCCAGCAGCCGCGGUAAUACGGAGGAUGCGAGCGUUAUCCGGAUUUAUUGGGUUUAAAGGGAGCGUAGACGGGAUGUUAAGUCAGUUGUGAAAGGCUGCGGCUCAACCGCAGCACUGCAGUUGAUACUGGCGUCCUUGAGUGCGGUUGAGGUGUAUGGAAUUCGUGGUGUAGCGGUGAAAUGCUUAGAUAUCACGAAGAACUCCGAUUG
rnacentral:rRNA from 1 species